rnacentral:lncRNA from 11 species
AGAGAGGGAGAGCUGAGGAGGUUGCUUUUGGAAAGCAGCGCAGCCAGCUCAUCUGAGAGAGAGAAGGAGAGAGAGAGGCUGUAUGUGUGUCAUAUUACAGAGAAAUCAGGAACAGUCACAGUGCAGCUCCCAAUCAGUUGAGAAUUACCUCUCUCUAAUGGGGAGCUUCACAUACAGUCCGUUGCUUACUCUGCCGAGGAACUAGACAUUUAACCAAACAACCGAGAGGGAGGGAAAACAGCAAAACAAACAAGCCUGGAGGGAAUCUAUAUAUAAAUACAACUUUGAAAUACAUACAUAUUUAGAUAUGUAUUGUAUGUAAAUUUCUGGUCAAAUUACUUUUAAAAAACUUUUCUAAAGUUUGAUUUUUCUCCCCUUUGAGGGGAGAAAAUUAUUUCCUUCCUCCUCGGUUUGUUCUAAAAGUUUGUUUUGUGACCUGCCCUUUUUUUAUUCUUCUUCAUUGGCAUUGGGAUUUCAGUUGGACGACAGUGCUCUUUUUCGUGCCUUGUGGAUUGUGCUACUGGGAGGAAGAUUUCAGCUUUAUUUAUUUUGUAUUUAUUUAUUUAUUGCCCCUGAGGCUGGGAAGGAAUGGUGGUGGUGGUGGAGGAGAAAAGCUUGAAAGGGGCUGCUGCUCAUGGUGCCUUGGAGAGCGGCUGCGUCACACAGCCCAGGACAGGCGAUGGGGAAAGAUGCUGCAAAGGACCUCUUCUGCUGGGCUCUGGGCUGCCUGGAGUGUCUCUACUUUCUUUGGUGCUGAGCCUCCUGCUCUACUUCAGGACAUCAGACCUGCAAUCCAGGGUUUCCCAUUUGGAGGCGGACAGAUCCACUCCGCUCCCUGCCUGCCUCUCCACAGACCAAAUGGAGACAGCUAUUUUGGGAAGAGUUGACCAACUGCUUGCUGAGAGAUUAAAGUUCACCUUGCCAAGACAUCGGGAAGCUAGAGACAUCCAAUCACGAUGCAACUGUCCAGCAGGUAAGAAUUAGAAAUGAUGAUGAUAACAUGGUAAACACCAUGACACAAGAGCAAAAUUAA